rnacentral:tRNA from 1 species
GCCUGGGUGGCUCAGUCGGUUAAGCGUCCGACUUCAGCUCAGGUCAUGAUCUUGCGGUAGUCCGUGGGUUCGAGCCCCGCAUCAGGCU